GCGUCCUCUCUCGUCCUCUGCGUGCGCCGGCGGCUGCCAUGGUGGGUCGGGUGAUUGCAUUCUCCUGCCGCCCCUUUCCCGAGCGCCUGCGCGGGCCACGCCCUGCAUUCUUGCUCCCGCGGGCGCUGCGCGGCCUAAGGGACUCGGCUGCCGGCCUCCGGGUGCGGGGUGGGGGCGGGCUCUGACCUGGGACGUCCUGGCCGCGUAAGCCGCGGAAUGGGGUCCUGGCCCCGGAGGAGGCGCCGCUGCUGUGUUCCUUGGUGGCGAGGGCGCUGCCCGGCCCUGCGCGGUUUCCAGCCAGGAAGCUUCGAGAAUCCUGGACCGGUGCUCACUGGAAACGGCAUGUGCUUGGGGUGUUGGGAAGGAGGUGACUUUGCCUGUGAUGGACUUCCAGUGUGAGCACUGGCCAGGGUGACCAGGCUGACCUGCACCAGCCCUGAUCAAGAUGCAGAGGCCAGGAUGUGGGCCCAGCCCUGUGCAGGAGGCUGGCUGGAAUAAAGGUACAGAUACAGGCCUUGCCCCCUCUGGGACCACUGGCACUCGGGGUGUUUGCAGCCUCAGAGCCCAGUUUUCCACAAGCCCACCUGCCCCCAGGGCCACAGCUGCAUCUCUUGCUCUGCUUUCAUUACGGGGAUGGGCAGGCUGGCAUGGGGGCACCCGCUGCCCCUGCUUGGGUAGUGCUGUGUAUUCUAGCCAGGGGCCACUGCCAGGACUACGCCUCCAUUUUCAUAGCGCGAUUCUUAAGUUCUGCCAUUGUGGUAUUCUGGUGGGUAUUCGGGUGCUUGUCUGUUUUUGAACUGCCUGGAACCUAAGAUCCUGAAUUUUUUUUUCCCCUCUAAGGGGGAAAAUCUAUAUGGAAAACGUUUAUUUUAAAAUACAGGAUGAAGUGAAUUAAAAUAUUUAAUGCACAUUUCUUCAAGGACAAUAUUUCUGUGUUGGCAAAAUUUGAGAAUAAAUUGGCCUCGAACGGAA